UACAGAGGGGGCAAGCGUUGUUCGGAAUUACUGGGCGUAAAGGGCGCGUAGGCGGCCUGUUAAGUCGGACGUGAAAUCCCCGGGCUCAACCCGGGAACUGCGUCCGAUACUGGCAGGCUUGAAUCCGGGAGAGGGAUGUGGAAUUCCAGGUGUAGCGGUGAAAUGCGUAGAUAUCUGGAGGAACGCCGGUGGCGAAAGCAGGAUCCUGGACCGGCAUUGACGCUGAGGCGCGAAAGCCAGGGGAGCAAACGGG
rnacentral:rRNA from 1 species